GUGUCAGCAGCCGCGGUAAGACGUAGGAUGCAAGCGUUGUCCGGAAUUAUUGGGCGUAAAGAGUUCGUAGGCGGUUGUCUAAGUCUGGUGUUAAAUACUGGAGCUCAACUUCAGAAUGGCAUCGGAAACUGGACGGCUAGAGUGUAGUAGAGGUCACGGGAAUUCCUGGUGUAGCGGUGAAAUGCGUAGAUAUCAGGAGGAACACCGGUGGCGAAAGCGCGUGACUGGGCUACAACUGACGCUGAGGAACGAAAGCCAGGGGAGCAAAAGGGAUUAGAUACCCCAGUAGUCC
rnacentral:rRNA from 1 species